rnacentral:rRNA from 1 species
UACGUAGGGGGCUAGCGUUGUCCGGAAUCAUUGGGCGUAAAGAGCGUGUAGGCGGCCCGGUAAGUCCGCUGUGAAAGUCGGGGGCUCAACCCUCGAAUGCCGGUGGAUACUGUCGGGCUAGAGUGCGGAAGAGGCGAGUGGAAUUCCUGGUGUAGCGGUGAAAUGCGCAGAUAUCAGGAGGAACACCGAUUGCGAAGGCAGCUCGCUGGGACGUCACUGACGCUGAGACGCGAAAGCGUGGGGAGCAAACGGG